UGCAGCGACGCCGCGUGAGGGACGACGGCCUUCGGGUUGUAAACCUCUUUCAGCACAGACGAAGCGCAAGUGACGGUAUGUGCAGAAGAAGGACCGGCCAACUACGUGCCAGCAGCCGCGGUAAUACGUAGGGUCCGAGCGUUGUCCGGAAUUACUGGGCGUAAAGAGCUCGUAGGUGGUUUGUCGCGUUGUUCGUGAAAACUCACAGCUCAACUGUGGGCGUGCGGGCGAUACGGGCAGACUAGAGUACUGCAGGGGAGACUGGAAUUCCUGGUGUAGCGGUGGAAUGCGCAGAUUUCAGGAGGAACACCGGUGGCGAAGGCGGGUCUCUGGGCAGUAACUGACGCUGAGGAGCGAAAGCGUGGGGAGCGAACAGGAUUAGAUACCCUGGUAGUCCACGCCGUAAACGGUGGGUACUAGGUGUGGGUUUCCUUCCUUGGGAUCCGUGCCGUAGCUAACGCAUUAAGUACCCCGCCUGGGGAGUACGGCCGCAAGGCUAAAACUCAAAGAAAUUGACGGGGGCCCGCACAAGCGGCGGAGCAUGUGGAUUAAUUCGAUGCAACGCGAAGAACCUUACCUGGGUUUGACAUGCACAGGACGUGCCUAGAGAUAGGUAUUCCCUUG
rnacentral:rRNA from 1 species